rnacentral:rRNA from 1 species
UACGGGGGGGGCAAGCGUUGUUCGGAAUUAUUGGGCGUAAAGGGCGCGUAGGCGGUGCGGUAAGUCACCUGUGAAAUCUCCGGGCUUAACCCGGAGCCUGCAGGCGAAACUGCCGUGCUGGAGUAUGGGAGAGGUGCGUGGAAUUCCCGGUGUAGCGGUGAAAUGCGUAGAUAUCUGCAGGAACACCCGUGGCGAAAGCGGCGCACUGGACCACUACUGACGCUGAGGCGCGAAAGCUGGGGGAGCAAACAGG